AUUGAACGCUGGCGGCAUGCCUUACACAUGCAAGUCGAACGGCAGCGCGGGCUUCGACCUGGCGACGAGUGGCGGACGGGUGAGUAAUGCAUCGGAACGUGCCCAGGAGUGGGGGAUAACGUAGCGAAAGUUACGCUAAUACCGCAUACGUACUGAGGUAGAAAGCGGGGGAUCGAAAGACCUCGCGCUCAUGGAGCGGCCGAUGUCGGAUUAGCUAGUUGGUGAGGUAAAAGCUCACCAAGGCGACGAUCCGUAGCUGGUCUGAGAGGACGACCAGCCACACUGGGACUGAGACACGGCCCAGACUCCUACGGGAGGCAGCAGUGGGGAAUUUUGGACAAUGGGGGAAACCCUGAUCCAGCAAUGCCGCGUGUGGGAUGAAGGCCCUCGGGUUGUAAACCACUUUUGGCAGGAAAGAAAUCGCCUGUGCUAAUACCAGGGGCGGAUGACGGUACCUGCAGAAUAAGCACCGGCUAACUACGUGCCAGCAGCCGCGGUAAUACGUAGGGUGCGAGCGUUAAUCGGAAUUACUGGGCGUAAAGCGUGCGCAGGCGGUUUUGUAAGUCAGAUGUGAAAUCCCCGGGCUUAACCUGGGAACUGCAUUUGAGACUGCAAGACUAGAGUGCGUCAGAGGGAGGUGGAAUUCCGCGUGUAGCAGUGAAAUGCGUAGAGAUGCGGAAGAACACCCAUGGCGAAGGCAGCCUCC
rnacentral:rRNA from 1 species